UACGGAGGGUGCAAGCGUUAUCCGGAUUCACUGGGUUUAAAGGGUGCGUAGGUGGGUUGGUAAGUCAGUGGUGAAAUCUCCGAGCUUAACUUGGAAACUGCCAUUGAUACUAUUAGUCUUGAAUAUUGUGGAGGUCAGCGGAAUAUGUCAUGUAGCGGUGAAAUGCUUAGAUAUGACAUAGAACACCAAUUGCGAAGGCAGCUGGCUACGCAUAUAUUGACACUGAGCACGAAAGCGUGGGGAUCAAACAGGA
rnacentral:rRNA from 1 species